rnacentral:rRNA from 1 species
CCCUUAGAUGCUCUGGGCCGCACGCGCGCUACACUGGUCGAUGCAACGAGUUUCUUUCCUUGGCCGACAGGCCUGGGCAAUCUUUGAACAUCGAUCGUGAUCGGGAUAGAUUCUUGUAAUUUUUGAUCUUAAACGAGGAAUUCCUAGUAAACGCAAGUCAUCAGCUUGCAUUGAUUACGUCCCUGCCCUUUGUACACACCGCCCGUCGCUCCUACCGAUUGAAUGGUCCGGUGAAGCGUUCGGACCGUGGCCUUUGGACGGUUCGCCGUCUGUUGGCUGCGGGAAGUUCGUUAAACCUUAUCAUUUAGAGGAAGGAGAAGUCGUANCA